AAAUGAAUUGACGGGGACCCGCACAAGCGGUGGAUCAUGUUCUUUAAUUCGAGGCUAAACGAUAAACCUUACCAGGGCUUGACAUCCCAAGAAGGCUACCGAAAGGUAACUGUGCUUUUAGAACUUGGAGACAGGUGAUGCAUGGCCGUCGUCAGCUCGUGUCGUGAGAUGUUUGGUUAAGUCCAUCAACGAGCGCAACCCUUGCAAACAGUUGUAUUUUUCUGUUUGGACUGCUUCGGUAACGGAGAGGAAGGGGGGGAUGAUGUCAGGUCAGUAUUUCCCUUACGUCCUGGGCUAGAAACGUGAUACAAUGGCCGGUACAAUGCGAAGCGAAGCCGUGAGGUGAAGCCAAUCGCACCAAAGCCGGUCCCAGUUCGGAUUGAAGGCUGAAACUCGCCUUCAUGAAGUCGGAAUCGCUAGUAAUCGCAGAUCAGCAUGUUGCGGUGAAUACGUUCCCGGGUCUUGUACACACCGCCCGU
rnacentral:rRNA from 1 species